rnacentral:rRNA from 1 species
GCAUAUCAAUAAGCGGAGGAAAAAGAAACUAAACAAGGGAUUCCCCUAGUAAUGGGCGAAUGAAGAGGGAAAAAGCUCAAAUUUAAAAAUCUCAAUUAUUAAUUUAAUUGCGAAUUGUAAUUUAAAAGGAUUUUAAUCAGUAUUAAAUUUAACUUAAGUUGGCUGGAAAGCCACUGCAGAGAGGGUGAUACACCCGUAACUGGUUAAAAUUUUAAUGCGUUAGUAUUAUUUUCCAAAGAGUCAGAUUGCUUGGGACUGCAGUCUAAAAUGGGAGGUAAAUUUCUUCUAAAGCUAAAUAUUGGCAAGAGACCGAUAGCGAACAAGUACCGUGAGGGAAAGAUGAAAAGAACCUUGAAAAGGGGUUUAAAAGAAAGUGAAAUUGUUAAAAGGGAAACGCUUAAAAUGGGUAAAUAGAUGAAUAGAAAAUAUUCAAAUUUGAAUAGUACUCUAUUAAUCUUAGUGAUUAAUAAAAAUUUUUAAUAAUAAAGAAUAAUUUUUAUAAAGGUACAUUGGGAUAAAACCUUUUGACAUAUAAUAUAAAUUUUGAAAAUAUUAUUAAAGAUUUUUUAAUUAAUUUUAAACUUUUUAAUAAAUUCUUAAUAUUAAAUUUAAUAAAUAUUUAUAUAGAUUAAAUUUAAUAUUUUUUAUAUAGUUAAAAAGGUUAAAAUUAAAUUGAUCAUAACUUUUUUAAGCGACCCGUCUUGAAACACGGACCAAGGAGUCUAACAUUUAUGCGAGUAGUUGAGAAAUUUAAACUCAUAUGCGAAAUGAAAGUAAAUUCAAGGUAGGAUUAUGUUAAAGUAUGCACUAUCAACCGAUCUAUUAGGUUUUUAUCUAUAGAAUUGAGUAAGAGCAUAAAUGUUGGGACCCGAAAGAUGGUGAACUAUGCCUGAAUAGGGGCGAAGCCAGAGGAAACUCUGGUGGAGGCUCGUAGCGAUUCUGACGUGCAAAUCGAUCGUCAAAUUUGGGUAUAGGGGGCGAAAGACUAAUCGAAACCAUCUAGUAGCUGGUUUCUGCGA